rnacentral:rRNA from 1 species
CAGAGGGCAGCUACCCAGCAAUGGGAUGCGAAUCUCGAAAGCCUGUCUCAGUUCGGAUUGGAGGCUGAAACCCGCCUCCAUGAAGUUGGAUUCGCUAGUAAUCGCGCAUCAGCCAUGGCGCGGUGGAUACGUUCCCGGGCCUUGUACACACCGCCCGUCAAGCCAUGGGAGCCGGGGGUGCCUGAAGUUCGUGACCGCAAGGAGCGACCUAGGGCAAAACUGGUGACUGGGGCUAAGUCGUAACAAGGUACC